UCAAUUUUAUACCCAGAUAGCACACGUACGUCGCGGAGAUGUCUGCGCGAUGUCUUGUUUUUCGUCUGGAAGACGUAUUAUUUAGGGCGUUUGCUCAUCUGGAAGGCGUCGCCGAGACGUCCGACCCAGCUGUUUGCAAGACACCCAGCAGAUCUUUACAAGAUGUAUGUUAUUUAGAACGAUGGCGAGCCGCCGUUUCCCAGAUCUUUACAAGAUGUUAGAACGGCAAGCCGCUCUUUCACAGAUCUUUAGCAGAGCUUUAAAAGAUGCGGAGCCGCUCUUUCCCAGAUCUUAAGAAGAGCUUUAAAAGAUGCGGAGCCGCUCUUUCCCAGAUCUUUAGAAGAGCUUAGAAAGACGGUAAGCCGCUCUUUCCCAGAUGUUUGUAAGAUUACAAGAUCCCUCAUUAACAAAUUGAAUUGCCCUAAACUACAGCAAAUUAUUUCUACACACAUCUACACAUGCAAGCUGUGUCAUCGAUAUUAAGUAAUUAAAACAGCAUUUUCAAUUGAUCUUAAAACAGGCAGUUGUUGAUUUUAUAAAACACAUUUAUUCAAAUUAAACAAUGAAAACUUUCAUUCAUUUAUCUUUAAAUAUAUUUUUUACAUGACAGUAUGCGAAAACAACAACAUAAACAUAACAUAUUUAAAAUAAUCAAAACCUUUCCUCGUCUGCUUUAUUAAUCUCCAUUCUAAAAUAAAACAUUUCAAAAACUUACCAGGAAAUAAUCGUGAUAGGCUGCUCUUUCUUUAUAGCUUUAAUUAGGAUCUAGAAGAUAAAAUUACCCGAAAGUGUUAUCAUUGUUAAAUAAAUUACGGAUGUGCGUCUUUACGUCAAGGUCGUGAUUCUACAUAACAACAUCCGCUUGACCUCGCAACGCCAAGAAGAAGAAAGGCGUGGAACACAUGCUUAAGCCUGUCAAGAUCCUUCAGAUGAUGUUUGAGAAAAAAGUCAUCAUCCUCUUCGUCACUCUUCAUCCGUAUUUGGGGUAACAAACACCUGCUUCCCACAAGAGACUGGACCGCUGAAGUCAGGUGACCUGCACCUUCCUUGAACAUGUUGGUAACUUACUCUGUAUUUGUUCACGGUGGUCACCCCAGGGUCUCAGGACUCAAAACGAGUGCUCUAUGGAUUAAACAGAAAAUGUAGUAUAAACAAGUGUUAAGUUAUGUCUUUAAAUGCCACUAAUAAUGUGUUUCUGUUUUCUUUCUCAUUAUGCUAACAAACGCUCUUUUAUCCCUCAUGUUAGGUGGAUCAACACUCCAACCAUCUGCAUUAGGGACUGAAUAAAGGAUGCCCUCUGUAGCUGGGAAUGUUAGAUCAGGCGGAUCAACAUUCCAUCCAUCUGCAUUAGGAUCUACCUUAGAGACACUCACUGAGCUGUAAAGGGAAGCAGGUCACUUACUUUUCAUUCGUCCUUGUUGGUCACCCCAGGGUCUCUAGAGUGAAAAUUACUCAAUCUAUGGAUUAAACAGAAAAUGUAGUUUUAUGAAGUGCCGUAUGCUAGAUGGAGCCAUUCACUUCCAGUCUUUGUGCUAAGCUAAGCUAGCGGGGGCUGCAUCAGACAGAGUUACAGCACGCACAGGGAUGAGAAAGCAAUUUGGGACAUUCUUCCAGUUGUCGGCAACUUUGUGAAAAAGGCUGGAAACUAAAAUGCAGAAUUCUGGCCUGGUGUUUGGUCCGUGCUGUCUUUGGCUCUUGCAUCUCCAUCAUCCUGACCCUCUUUAGCAGCCUGUCCAUGUAUUUAUUUGGAGGCCACCAUGAGCACCCAUCUGCAUAAUAUGACUUUGUUACUCAGUUGUCCAUGCUCCUACAAAUUCUACAUUUUUUGUAAAGCUGCAACAAGUUGAAACCCUAUAAUUAUUAACAUUUGAUUUUGAAUGAUGUAAUUCAAAUACAUGAAUAAGUAACAAAAGCAGAAAUAUAUUAAUUAAGACAUUACCUUUUUGUUGAUUGUUUACUGAUCUAUAAAUCAUUUUGCAUUCUCAUAAUUGAUCAUCAUAACUUGGUAUACAGUGGAUGUGUGGCUGUAGAUAACUUUCUGAAGUCAAUUUAAAAAGGCAAAAGUUAAUAAAUGCUAAAUUGGUCAAAUAUACAUUGUUGUAUUUUCACCAUUUUGAUCUUAUUUAGGCAUUUCAUAACUUGAGGGAAAUUUACGUAUACUGAUGUUUCAAAUCAAAUAUUAAUUUAUUAAUGACAGCUAAUCAUUUUAUAAAGAUUUUUUAUAACAAUAUUUAUUUAUAUAAUAUCAAUUUAAUACAUUUAUUUCGUUACACCUACAUCACUGAGCGCAAGGGAGUGCAGCCAACAAAUACAUUCAGGUGUGUUUGACUUAACACCGAGAUGCGCAGACAGCACGUGGUAUGACAUCAAGUACCGCGAGAGUUUGGGAAAGCCCCGGAAAAGGUUUGAACUCGAGGUACUGAUGUCACGAUCGGUUUGCGAGUAGAUCAGCAUGAAGUCAAACACAUCUGAGAGAUGUGUGGGCUGCCUGCACUCAACGUUGGGAUCAUUCAAUAGAGUGUAACCUCAAUCGGUUUUUGCAGCUUCUGGGUCUCGUGUAGAACGAUUUUUUGUUCUUUUCCAACUCGAUUUUUAACUCCCUAAACUAGUAGGAUGUUCCAACGGGUGAAGCAACAGUGCUGACGGCAGUUUCAGUGUCAAGUUUUCAUGCCAUGACCACUGGGGCGGAAACCAUUAUGACAUUGCCUUGGACAUCAAACUAAACCAUCUCAUUCUGGCUUUUGAGGUGGAUUCUAACCUCGAAAUCUCAGAAGGACAGGUCUAAGAUGGACGCAGCCUCUAUAGGAUGCAACCUUGCAUUUGAGAAACACCCAUAGAACGGAGAAAGUCAUGGUGUUCUGCUGCUAAGGUUGUCAUAAACGUCUUUUAUUCUGCUUACCUGACUCAUGCAGAAUUCUGGCUUGAUGUUUGGUCCACCUGUUAGCUGGCUCUGGUGCUUGGUAGUCUUCUCAAACCUCUGAAUCAAGACCACCAUGAGAGGCCUUCUGAAGACCAUCAUUACGCUUCAGAUCCAGUUGUCUUUACUUUGAGCCUACCACAAUCCCUGUGCACCAGCUAUGGAAAGUGCAGACCAAACUUCUACCUCCACCUAUAGAACUGAACUGGAGUCUAUGAACUAAUGCUGUGUUCGAGACAACUUGGAUGUUGGAUAUUAUUGACCUUAAACCCGUAAGAAGUCAGGAACAGGAAACAAAGUGGAGUAUCCGACCUCUCAACUUGGACCAGAUCGAUCAACACCGACCUCAACGAGAUGCGUCAUUUGACAUUGCAGACAAGAUCCUUUCUCUUUUUAAUGCAGCACUUAAGGAUGAACCACCCUGAUCUACUAAGAUGCACAGAUUCAACUCUGGCCCAGCAUCAUCCCCAUACCUCAUCUGCCAUCAGUUCAAUUUAAUGUCUGUCAAUUGCAAAUGGUAUUUAUUUCAGUUAUAUUACAACUUAAUAUUAAAGGAAUAGUCUACCCUUUUGCCAUAUUAAACUAUGUUAUUACCUCAACCUAGAUGAAUUAAUACAUACCUAUCUUUUUUCAAUGCGUGCACCGUACAGCGCGUUGUGAAUGUGUUAGCAUUUAGCCUAGCCCCAUUCAUUCCUAUGGUACCAAAAAAGUUUUAUUUUGUGGCACCAUACUUACUGGUAUAACUCCUCAUGUAACAGUCUUAAAAUAGGGAAAACACGAAAGUGUUUGGUGGCUUCCCUGUUUGGUACCAUAGGAAUGAAUGGGGCUAGGCUAAAUGCUAACACAUUCACGACGCGCUGUACAGUGCACAAUAGAUAUGUAUUAAUUCGUCUAAGUUGAGGUAAUAACAUAGUUUAAUAUGGCAAAAGGGUAGACUAUUCCUUUAACUUUAAUUGAGACUAGUAUUGUGUAAAGCUGGGGUUUCCAAACUUCUCAUUUCAAAACCUAUUAGACAACUGUAAUCUAUUCUAGACCCACUAAAAUAUUUUUAAAUAUACAUUUUUUAAUGGGGUAAAACACAUUUGUUCUCUUUCAGUGGAGUCAUUUUAUUUUCAUAAUAUUUCAUAAUGUAAAGUAAAUAUAAGUUUAUUUGCAAUACCAAAUAUUUUAUGGUAUAUUCUUUCAAAACCAUUGUCAUUGUUAAUUAUUAAUUUGGCCAAACUGUUGCUGCAUCAUUACGGUGUGCAACACACCUUAACCUACUGUGUGACGGACAAGUAGGUCCUCCUGACACACAAUUUAAAAUCCUCUGGUGUACCGAAUGUUGUAUUGUAAUUAAAGUUGCAUCUAAGUCUUGUGUAACAGUCUCCAUUAUUUGUGAUUAUAUUCAUAGUGUCACAUGGUACUUUCAGCACUUACUACAUCACAGUGUUUUUAAUGCUUUCAUUUUUAGGGUUAUUAUAAAUUCAUUCAUUUUUAAAGAAUUACUUCUUUAUGUAGAACAUGCAAAGUCUAAAAUGUAAAGUGUCAUGAUCAGCUCUGGGUCUUGUGCAGUGAUUAAAUGAGCAGGUAGUAAAUGUCAUAGCUUUAAGUUCUGGAUGUAAUGAACAUUCAGCACAUAGGUUUCAUAAAUUGAAUUUGGUAAACAAACUUGUCGAAACAAUUCAUGCUGUGAUGCUGGAUAAUACCU